rnacentral:rRNA from 1 species
GACGAACGCUGGCGGCGUGCUUAACACAUGCAAGUCGAACGGUAAGGCCCUUCGGGGUACACGAGUGGCGAACGGGUGAGUAACACGCGGGUGAUCUGCCCUGCACUUCGGGAUAAGCCUGGGAAACCGGGUCUAAUACCGGAUAGGACCCUGGGAUGCAUGUCCUGGGGUGGAAAGCUUUUGCGGUGUGGGAUGGGCCCGCGGCCUAUCAGCUUGUUGGUGGGGUGAUGGCCUACCAAGGCGACGACGGGUAGCCGGCCUGAGAGGGUGACCGGCCACACUGGGACUGAGAUACGGCCCAGACUCCUACGGGAGGCAGCAGUGGGGAAUAUUGCACAAUGGGCGCAAGCCUGAUGCAGCGACGCCGCGUGAGGGAUGACGGCCUUCGGGUUGUAAACCUCUUUCAGCACCGACGAAGCGCAAGUGACGGUAGGUGCAGAAGAAGGACCGGCCAACUACGUGCCAGCCGCCGCUGUAA